rnacentral:lncRNA from 1 species
UGUUACAAGUGCUGAAAUUUUGGGACUUAGCUGUUACUGUAGCAUAACCUAGUCUACUAUGACUGGUGUGGGUAUAUGUAUUUGCAAAUGUUUACUGAUGUUUUAUUGAUUUGCCAGUUACCUUUUCUACCUCAAUAUGUGGGUUUUAAUAAACUCUGUACUAUGGUAAUUAUUUUAAUUUAUUCAUUUUCCCUAUAUGGACUAUAAGAGUUUCAUGUACAAUCAAGUAUACCUAGAAGAUAAUAGUUGUUAAUAGAGAAAAAUGAAUUUAAAUUGGUGUAAAAGUAAAGGGAAUUUAUUAGCUGUGAAACUGAAAAUUUAAAUGUAGAUCAUGCUUCAGGCAUAGUUUGAUCAGCAGUCUGGUUCCAGUUCUUCAUUGUUGCUCUUGGCACUUCUUAGCUCUGUGUUUUGGCUUCCCUUUCAGACUGUUGCAAAAUGUUUUACUAUAUGUGGUCUUACUCAUAUUCAGUUGGAGAGAGAAGGCUUCUUUUCUCUUAAAACGUUGAAAAAAUAAUGAUCUUUUCUUUAAUUGGACUGACUUAAUCAAUAUGUCAGCUCUGAAGACACUCUUGUGGCUAGAAGAAUGAACAGAUUAGCUCUGACCUGGGAAAUGUGCCCGUCCCUGAAACCAAACCAGAGCCCAUCCCUGGAACUUGGAAGGAUGUUAUAUUACUAUGAGACAGCGAGAUGAUUGUUUUAGUCAGCUUUUGUGUUGCUGUAACCAAAAUAUCCUACAAGAACAACAUAGAGGAGGAAAAGUUUACGGAGCUUAUGGUUUCAGAGAUCUCAGUUCAUGGAUGGCUAACUCCAUUGCUUUGGGCCCAAGGUGAGACAGCACAUCAUGGCAGAAGGGCCCAGCAGAGGAAAGCUUCUCAUCUUGUGGUGGGUCAGGAAGCAGAGAGAGGGGAAUGGAGAAAGAGAUAACAGGGAAGAUGAACCCUUCCAGGGCACAUCUUCACUGUGACCCUCUAGCCAUGCCCCAGCUGCCUGUAGUCACCACUCAGUCCAUUCAAAGUAGGAUGGACUGAUUGGUCACAGCUGUCAUAAUCCAAUCGCUUCACCUUCAAACAUUUCUGUAUUAAUACAGGAGCUUUUGGUCCAAAGCAUUCUAUAACAGAUAAAUCCAACAUUCUCUCUGGCUUUACCUAAUAAACAUUUAUUUCUUAGUCAUGUCAUUAAUCUUAAUGAUUGGCUAACUUCCAGGAGGAUUUUUAGAGAUCUUGAAUUUCUAUAUCUUAGAGUUCCUUUGUCUUCAACACAGGGUUCCAAAACUGUUGCAAAAUGGGAAAGAUCUUGGGGAAGACCAUCCACUCCUUAACUACUUUAGCUCAGAAAUGACACACAUCAUUUUUGCUCACAUCAUUGGUAGGAACUAGUCAUGUGACUCCUUUAGUUCAAGAGAAGUGUGAAGUGUGAGGUGAUCCCUUGGCUGGGCAUAUCCUUCCCAGUGUGCACUCCACACCCUGGAAGGGGGCAUGGAUCUUUGGGGUCAGC